UUAACAUUUGAAUCCAAGGUAAAAGGUUUACAUACUAUGUAAAUUUCAGAGUAUUAAAUUACUAUGUAAAUUUCAGAGUAUUAAAUUAUAUCCUAUCAAACUGAUAUGCCAUAGUUCGAUCAGGUGUUGCCAAAAUUAUUCAGCUAUUAGUCGGUCUAGAUUCUAGACAUUGUAUUUGUUAUGGCCCCUAGUUUUGGAUCGAGUCACUGGACAACUAACUUGGAAGUCAGACCUAACGUUAUGGUCUAAGCCCUUAUUUUUGUCUCGUGACUUACCUACGAUUGUUUUUGUUUCGUGACUUACCUACGAUUGCUAAAUUUUGUUGUUCAUUCAGGGAACUGCAGACCUGGGAACUUGUUUGAGAAAGUUCCGACUCUAUAAAAUCCAACUUGUUUUAUUAAUAACGUCAACUCUCUUAAAUAGAGGUUUACAGUAGCAAAGAGUCCUAACAAGCUAGAAAUAGAAAAGGCCCUAUAAAACUGAAUUACCAAGAGUUCUAAUCCACUAAGGGAAGUUCUAUUCUACUAACAAAAUAAUUCAGAAAAUAAACUCAUUAUCAGUCCUAUUAAUUCUUGCGUCUGGAAUAUUGUUUCCCGACAAAAGCAUCAAUAACAUUAUCCCCUUCCAGGAGAAAAAGCUUGUCCUCAAGCUUGAAGUCUGGAAAGGAAGAUUUGAAGUGAUGCACUGUCUCCCAAGUGGAUUCCUCAACAGAUUGGCCGCACCAUUGCACUAGAAUUUCCCAAUUAUCACGAUUCAGACGCAAUCUGAGCACGGAACAAGGGGUGGGAACAACACGUCCUUUUUCAACUGGUGGAAGGGUAGGUGGAGUUGUAGGUACCUCACCCUUGAAUGGCUUAAGAAUUUUUUUAUUUUUUUUUAAUUUUAAUUUGGAUUUUUAUUAAUGAGGCAACAAAAAGAUCUUUACAUCAUAGACCAACCCGUCCCCAAAAUUGUAACAAAGCUUUGGGUCUACCAACCAGUACAUCUUUAUAUUAAUCCUGACCCAAUCAUUAUAUUUGCUACUAUAAAAUUGUCCCUUGGGUUUCCUAAAUGGAUUUUGCUGUCUCCUCCGUCUUUUGAGCUCCUUUCCAGGUGAUCCAUGGAGAUGGUACCUUCAAUCUUCAUAUCUCGAUACUACUGCUCUGGUUCUUUAACUCUUUGCCUGAGAUAUCGAUUGUUGCUGCUAUCAGUAGCUCUCAAAAGUAGAAGUUUCAGCAACAAACGUAUGUACGUAUGCACGGACUGCCGCCCCUUUAUCCUUUUUUCAGUGACAAACGUAUGUACGGACUCUGUGUUUUAUCACUGUUAAGGAUUUUUCUGCCUGUAACCUGCAACUGUUUGAAUGUUGUCAUGCUAAAACCCCCAUUAUCAAUUGCAUUAUUUGCUAGAUGAUCUGCCAGUUCAUUUCCCACCCUUAAUAUGUGCUGAAACUUCACUUGCUUGCCAUGUAGUAAUUCUGUGAUUUGUUCUAUAUAGUCCAUCACAUUCCAUGGACAUUCCCACUACAACAACAACAACAACAACAAACCCAGUGUAUUCCCACCUGGUGGGGUCUGGGGGGUAGGAUGUACGCAGUCCAUACCUCUACCUCUGAAGAAGUAGAAAGGCCCACUCUUUGGUAAAAAUCUUCAACAUAAUAAGAGAAUCUGUUUGAAAGAUUAUCUUAUCAAGAUUGUUCAAAUUACAAUGGAUUUGCGGCUUGAAGUAUAGCAUAUGCUUCAGCCUCCAUGUUAGUAGUAUCCGUAACCUGUGCACCCUUUGCAUACCUUAAAUCCCCAUUUUCAUCUCUCAAGCAGAAAGCAUAAGAACUGAUCCCUGGGUUAUCUCUAGAGGCCCCAUCUGUAUUGUAUUUCAACCAACCUUCUUCCGGAAAUUGCCACACCACCUUUGUAAGAUAGAAUGUAGAUCUCUUUAACUGUAAUUGCUGAAGAGUAUCUGGCCACAUAGAAGGGAAAACUUGUCUAGGAUUCCUCACUUUAAGUAAUAAACCAAUGCUUUUGUUAAUAUUGAAUAUUACUUUAUGAGUUGACAUAGAUUUCCCUUCAUGUUUUGAAUUGUUUCUUCUUCUCCAUAAUUCCCAUAUGAUAAUGCUAGGAAUGGACUUAAAGUAUGCCUUAUCUGCUCCCUGUUUUCCUGCAUUCCACCAGUAAUGAAUAAUUUCCCUUAGAGUGGCUCCUUGUAAAAUGAUACCUGCACAGGAAGAAAAAUAGGCCCAGGUCCGGUUAGCUGUGCCUGAUUUCAGGAACACAUGUGAAAUGGUUUCUUGAUCAGGCUGUGUACAACACCAACAUUUAGUUGGUCCUGGUAACCCCCAUCUCCGUAUAUUAUCAUCAACAGCCACUUUUCCUUUCCAAAAUCUCCACAUUAGAAAUGCCAUCUUGAAUGGUAAUCCUUUCACCCAAAUGUUUUUAUAAACUGCAUUUCUCUCCUCUUUGUCUGAUGAAAUCCCAGGCUGAUUUGACAGUAAACCUUCCAGUUGGAUCCAGCAUCCACAUUGGACAGUCUUUCCUUUCUCUAUCAUUUGAUAUUCUAAUGAAUUCCUUGAUAUGAUCUGCAACUUCUUGUGGAAAAAGCUGUGACAUUACCUGUGUGUUCCAUGCUCCAUUAUCAAUCAAAUCCUGCACCUGUUGAUACUGAGUGUCCCACUCCCUUGAAUUCUGCAAAAGGGUAUAAAAAUCUCCUUCCUUUGUCCAAUUAUCAAACCAAAUAUUUGAGUUUCCUUUCCUUAUUCUCCAAAAAAUUUGAUACUCCACCAAAUCCCUUGCCUGUAGCAAUUUUUUCCAUACCUGAGAUCCAGCACCAAUUUUCCACACUAUUUCAUUUGGGUGCUUAUUUUUGCAAUACUUAUUCUGCAUGUAUCUGCUCCAAAUCUAGUCUUUAGUUCUAAAGUUCCACCAUAACUUACAAAAUAAGGCCAUUGAAACAUCUUUUAAGUUCCUAAAUCCUAGUCCUCCUUCUUCCUCAGGCAGACAUUGCUUACUCCAUUUCACCCAAUGUCUACUUUUACCCCCGAUGUGCGUACUCCAAAAGAAUUGUGCAAACAUUCUUUGAAUAGAGUUUAUUACAUUAAGAGGUGGAUUCAUAACAGAAAGACAAUGAAUAGGUAUACUUUGUAGGACAUGUUUUAUCAGAAUAGCUCUUCCCGCAUAAGAAGUAAGUUUUCCUUUCCAUGCUUGUAGUUUUCCACUCAUUCUGCUCAUCAUAGUUUGAUAAUAAUCUUUCUUCUUUCUCAUGUAAAAAAUUGGGAAGCCUAAAUAAGUGAAAGGGAAUUCAUUUCUCAUAAUUCCAGUCACCACUUCAGCAACUAUCACAGCUCCAUGAGAUACACCUCUAUGAAAGUACAGGGAACUUUUCUCCUUAUUAACCUUCUGACCUGACACUUUUUCAUAUUUUCUAGUGUACCGGUCACUAAUUGCAUUGUUUGUAAAUCUGCUUUGCAUAAUAUUAUCAUGUCAUCAGCAAAGGCAAAGUGAUUUACCUUAGGACUUCCUAUAGGCAUUCCAAAGAGUUUAAAUUCUUUAGUAGCCAUCAGGGAUUUUAGAGCUCUUGACAACACUUCUGCUGCAAUAAUAAAAAGAGUAGGUGAUAGUGGAUCUCCUUGCUUCAAUCCCCUGGAUGAUUUGAAAAAACCUUUGGGUUGCCCAUUUAGGAGUAUAGAAUACCAAUUGUUUCCAACUAGUCUAAAUAUCAUAUCAAUCAUACAUUCUCCAAAUCCUACCUUCCUCAGUACUUUAGUGAGAAAAAGCCAGUCAACUCUGUCAUAUGCUUUCUUCAUAUCUAGUUUCAUGACCAGAUUAGGACUUCACUCCUUUUCCUUAUGUCUGUGAUUAUCUCCUGAACCAUCAGAAUAUUCUCAGCAAUACUUCUUCCGUGAACAAAUCCAGCUUGCUCCUCAGAAAUAACAGAAGGAAGUACCCUUUUAAUUCUCUCAUGUAUAAGCCUAGAAAAGAUUUUAUUCAGAAAAUUGCUUAAGGAGAUGGGUCUCAUAUCCGAAAAUGUAUUCACCACUAACUUCUUGGGUAUUAACACCAAGUUUGUAUGAGUCACAAACUUUGGUAAUUCAUAACCACAAAAGAAAGCUGUAACCAUUUUAUGAAUAUCUUGACCUAUAAUCUCCCAGGCAUCUUGGAAAAAAACUCCUGUCAUACCAUCAGGCCUCCUGCACUAUGCCUAUUUAAUCCCAUGACAGCCUCUUUAACUUCCUGAAUUCCUGGAAUCUUCCUCAUCUCUUCAUUCUGUUCAACAGUGACUACACUAGGUAAUUCAUUCAGCAAGUGAAGUCAGCAAUCUCUGCCUCUUUAGUAAACUGUCUUUGGAAAAAACUAACAGCUUCUUCAGCAAUGUCUGCCUGAUUUUCCAUCCAUUCUCCUUCAUCAUUCUGAAUUCUUGUAAUUUUCAAUCUGCUUCUUCUUCCUUUCACAACAGCAUGGAAAAAUUUAGUGUUUCUUUCCCCAUCUUUAAACCAUUCCAACCCUGACUUCUUCCUCCAGAAAUCUUCUUCUCUCUUCAACUGCAAGUUUAAUUCAGCCUGUCCUUUAAACAACAUCUGUCUAUUAUUGGGUGAUGGAUUCUCCUCAAACUGUUUUUCUCUCACUUUGAUAAUCUCCUCCAAUGUUGCAAUUUCCUGGAAAAUAUUACCAAAGUGUUCCUUACUCUAUUUUGUCAGUGCAUUUUUCACCCUCUUCAUCUUAUGGUGAAAUUCAAUGAAAGGAUUGCCCACUACAUCAGUUAUCCAGUUUUGUUUAAUAACUUCAUAACAUGAUUGCUCCUUCAGCCACAUAUUCAGAAACCUAAAUGGUUUGUGAAUAUUUUCCUUCACUGGACUGAAAUGUAUCUGCAAAGGAGAGUGAUCUGAUCCACUUCUAAACAAAUGUUCCACUUCAAGGACUUGAAAUAGUUCCUGCAAUCUAUCAUUACAAAGAAGUCUAUCCAAUCUUUCAAAAAUGCAUUCUGCAUCAGUCCUUCCAUUCCACCAGGUAUAUUUACUACCUUUGAAUCCUGGAUCCUCCAUUCCGCAUAAAUUAAUACAAUGUUUGAAAUCUUCUGUUUCAGCCACUGUAACUGGUAAACCUCCUAAUUUCUCCUCUUCACUGACAAUUACAUUGAAAUCUCCCCCUAUUAGCCAUGGGUGUUGUAUUGUCUGAGCCAUAUCUAUAAGGGAUUCCCAUAAACAUAGCCUCUCUUGUUGAUUGCAUUUAGCAUACACUAGUGUAACCACCACUAAGAUAUCUGUCUCUUGAUUGGUUAGUUGAAUGGUAAGCUGUUGCUCCUCAUCUCUUAGAACCACCAUAUGUAUAAAAUCUUCAGUGAAUGCCCAUAUUUUGCCUGCACAGUUUGCAACUGCAUCCUUCAUAUUCAGCCUUCUUCUGUAUUCAUCAAUUGUACUAUUUUCCUGGAAAGGCUCCAUUAAUCCUAUGAAUGUAAAGUGGUAUCUUUUUUGUAAAGUGACAAGUCUAGUGAAUGCUUUUUGUGUGUUCACUGAUCUGAUAUUCCAGAUUAGAGCUUUCAUUUUGACCUUUUUUUUUCUGAAUUCUUUGUCUGCAUUGAGGAAGUUUUAAAUCCCUUUUCUUUCAUCUUCUGUAUACCUUGACUUGAUUUCAUCUUUUCUAUCUGCCUUGGAGACAAAUUACCUUCCACUCCGAUCUGAUAUAUGGUUUUAUUCAUAUCCCCUUCAUCCAAGUCUGCAUUAUCCCUGUUACUGACCUCUUUCUGGUUAUCCACCUGGAUUGCUAAAGGUAAGAUGUUUUCCAUAACCUUUUCUUCUCCCUCUGUCUGCUGAUGCUGAACUAUUUCCCCUACAACUUCCGUUUCAUCUAGAUGCUUCUUAUCUGUCAUUUCCUCUCUCUGCAUUUGAUCCACUGGUACUGUUGCAACUAUUUGCUGCAUAUCUGCUCUAUUUUCCCCCUGCUCUAAUAUUUGAUUGUUUUCUUCCCUGUUGUUUGUUGUCUUCCCCAUUAUCUCCUUCUCAGCUGUCCCGAAGCUAUUAGUUACCCAAUCUUUUGUACUCUGAUUAGGCACUUCUUGUUGUUUUGCGUUCAAGUUUUCCUCGUUCUUGAUUGUCCUUGCUUGUUAGAGCUUCAAAUGUGUUAGAUACUGGAAUUUCUUUCUGCACUUCAGCUUCUACUUCCCCAAUUAUAUGGCCAUACUUAUCUUUUUUAUAUCUACUUCUCCUUGUAAGCCAUUGCUGUUUAUUUUCCUCUUGUUGCAUAUUAUCUCUCCAGUACUGUUCCUUCCCUCCUUCCAGUUGUUGUUUCACUAGUUUCCUCUGUUCCUCCAUUUUCCCUUCAUGAAGCUCUGGAUGUUUAUUCCAGCAUUGGUUAUCAUCAUGUCCCUGUAGUUUGCAUUCCUUACAAUACUUUGGCAUAUAAUCAUAUUGUACUUGGAUCCAUUUUGAUUUUAUAAUCCCUGUAGUAUUAUCCUCCUCAUUAAUCCUUAUUCUUUGGUGCAGGUCAGCUGUCAUAUCUAUUUCAACCUUCACACGAGCACAACUUGGCCUUGUUUGAUUCAUUGUUGCUAAAUCCACGGAGAAUGAUUUGCCUAUCGCUGAAGCUAUUGAAAAUAUUGCCUCUUUUGCAAAGAAAUUAGGUGGCAAAUCAGGGAAUGAAAUCCAAGCAAUUCCAAUUGUAGUCUCCACAUCCGCUUCAAACCAAGGAUCCCACUUAAGGGUGCGCAUCUGCCAGAACCUAUCCUUAGCUUUUAUGUAGUAUGCAUUUGUUGAUAACAGCUUUAUAUAAUCUUCCAAUAUCGCAAGUCUUAUGAGUACAUGUCGUGAGUCCAAAACUCCAAUAGUACAAUCUCCUUUAAUACGGCAUUGAUUUGGUAUCGCUUUUCGCAACUCUGUGACAUCAGGUUUUCCAUAGGAGAAUUUGCCAAUAAUUGCAUAUUGUAAAUUCUCAUGUAUUAUUAAACUUCUAACUUCUGCAGCCAUCCAUGUUAUACUCGGUUCCCCAUCUACAAAUAUCACUGGUUUUGGUUGGAUUUUACUCACUGUGUCAAAAUGAGUAUUAGGCUUCAAAACGUUUGCAUAUGAUUGUUUCUCUCUCAAGUCUGGAUUCAAACUACUUCCUUUCACUUCAUUACUUAAAUGGUUAACAAUUUCCGGUGGGUUCUCCCCACCGGAAGAGGUGGCCAUGGUAGACAACCAGAGAGAAACACGCCGAUUCCACGGCUUUUGCCGGAGCGACGCCGGAAAAUGUGCAUCUUGCCCAGAUCUGGCUGGCAAUGAUGUAGCAGCGAUAAGAUGAAAGAGAGAUGGUGUGGUGUUGGAGGUCCGUUGAUAGGUGGCGAAGAAAACGUUGAUAAAGGUGGGCGGAAUCCGGUGUUCGCCGGAUCUGAUUAAAAUACGUACUAAUUUUUCCGAAAGUUUAAUAAUGCAAUUUGAUUCCUUCUUUUAGGUAUGUUGAAUGGCUUAAGAAGUGACACAUGAAACACAUCAUGAAGUUUGCAACCUCUUGAUACUUAGGACAAUGUCAAAAGCAUCCAAGGGAAUCACAUAUAAAUCAACAUUGAAGGAAUGCUUAGCUACAGAAAAUUGCACUGCCGUGCAAAUGCCCAAACUGGAAAUUUUCUCUCCAUUUGCCACUGAUACAUAGAGAUUUCUUCGAUGUUGGAUAGGCAAAUCUAAACGUUGGGCAGCCAUAGAGCUAAUAAAAUUAUGUGUACUGCUUGAAUCAACUAAGCUGAGCAACAACUUCUUAUCAAUUACAACCCGCAACUGCAUAGUAUCGGCCUGUUGUUUGCCUUUGAUGGCAUGGAGUGAGAUGGCAGGCUCUCCACUAUUCGUUGGUACAUCUUCAGAUUCCAACUUCUUAUCAAUUGCAGUUUGCAACUGCAUAUUAUCUGCAAGUUGUUAGUUUGUGAUGGCAUGGAGUGAGAUCGAAGGCUCUCCACUAUCUAUUGAUACAUCUUAAAAUUCUGCAUCCUCUACUUCGAGCCAAAAUUACUUUUUGCACUGAUGGCCUUAAACAUAACGAUCAUCACAGUUGUAGCAAAACAUCUUUGCUCGCAGGGCAGCCAUCUCGGCAUGAGUCAACCUUUUCACAAAAGGAUUAGUAGUAGUUACCUUAUCCCCCGGAGUUACUGCUGCAGCGGCAAUCCUUGAGGUUGAAUUAUAGUCCCUCUGUGUGCUAGAAGAAAUUUGUAUUUUCUUCUCAAAUUCUCUCGCCAAACUCAUUGCUUGUACUAGGUUAGAUGGGUUAUGUAAUUCAACAUCGAGACGAAUCAAAUCAACUUCUUAUCCCCCGGAGUUACUGCUGCAGCGGCAAUCCUUGAGGUUGAAUUAUAGUCCCUGUGUGCUAGAAGAAAUUUGUAUUUUCUUCUCAAAUUCUCUCGCCAAACUCAUUGCUUGUACUAAGUUAGAUGGGUUAUGUAAUUCAACAUCGAGACGAAUCAAAUCAACUAAACCUGCUGUAAACAUAUUUGCUUGUUGGUCUACACGUACAGAUGGUGCACGAGCCAACAUCCUUUGCAAGUCCCUCUGAUAAUCUUCAACAGAACCAGUUUGUUCCAAGUUGAUCAAUUCCCCUAAAGGAUUGCUUUUCAUUGGUGGUCCAAAGCGAAGAGUACAAUAUUCUUUGAAGACACCCCAUGUUAAAUUUGAUUCCUCCAGUUCUAGCUGAUAAACCCACAAUUGCGCCUCCCCUACCAUGUGAAAAGCAGCUAUGCCUACCUUUUCUUGGUUGGUGGUAUGCUGGUUAGCAAAAAAUUUCUCACAACGAUGAAGCCAAAUAAGAAGAUCUUCACAUAUAUCAUAAGUAGAAAAUUCCAAUUUAGUUUAUCUGGGAACUAUAUCUCUUCCUGCAUUGUUGUCAUCGGUCCCAAGGUUGCUGUUGUUGUUUCUUCCUCCUAGACGCACAUCCAAUUGUUCUCUUGUGUUACCGGUUCGUUGGACAGAAGCAGCACUAUUUUCUCCAACUUCAACUACCUUUGCACGUGCCGUGGUGCGGAUUAAGGUUUCAAUUUGUUGAGAUAGUUGCUGGAAUUUGGCGUCCACCUUGCUUCCAAAGCUACUACUUUUGCUUUGGUCUGAGUUUGGGCUUCCAGUAAUAGGCUUUCCAGCCUUGCUUCUACAGUACUCUCGUCCAUGGUAACCGGCUCUGGUACCAAAUUGUUAUGGCCCCUAGUUUUGGAUCGAGUCACUGGACAACUAACUUGGAAGUCAGACCUAAUAUUAUGGUCUAAGCCCUUGUUUUUGUUUCGUAACUUACCUAUGAUUGCUGAAUUUUGCAGUUCAUUCAGGGAACUGCGGUCCUGGGAACUUGUUUGAGAAAGUUCCGACUCUCUGAUAAAAUCCAACUUGUUUAUUAAUAACGUCAACUGUCUUAAAUAGAGGUUUACAGUAGCAAAGAGUCCUAAUAAUCUAGAAAUAGAAAAAGCCCUAUAAAAAUGAAUUACCAAGAGUUCUAAUCCACUAAGGGAAGUUCUAUUCUACUAACAAAAUAAUUCAGAAAAUAAACUCACCAUCAGGCCUAUUAAUACUUGCAGAAUAUUGUUUACCGACAAAAGCAUCAAUAAAAGUAUUCUACUAGAAUCUUCUCUUUGAUACAAAAGCAUCAGAUUCUGUAAAUUUUAUUCCUUAACAUUGUUAUUUUCCACAAUAUAAACACUAAAAAGUUCUCUUCUUCCAUCAAUGUGGGAGAAUGAGUAAGAUUUCCAAAUUAGGAGUACACUUUCCAAUUUGGGUGUCUCCUUUUCCUCCACCAUUUCUUCUCCAUUUCUCAUUCACACUUCUAUGAACCCAACAAACUAAACCUUUGCAUUGAAAAGAAGAAUGGUAUGAGAUUGAAAAACUUACAUAGUCAUCACAUGUUUAAGUUGUAAAUCAUUGGGGUUGUCAAUUGCAUGUUGAAUGAGAAGGGUCUGGGUACGACGAUACCCAGUGAUAGGGUGCCCUUAAUAAAGCAAGUGUGAAAUGUUGUGAAGGUAUGAAAGCAUAGUUUUAAAGAAUUGAAAUUUGGGGCUUAGAAGGGGUUAGAUGGUCCUUCAUUAGACAGGCUCUCCAUUUCUUCAAUAUCCCUCAAAAUGUCCUCUCUAAUCCUGUCUUGCAUCUCCACUUCCACUAUCUCUAUUUUUAUUAAUGGGGAAAAAACUAGUUUCUUCCAACCCACCAAAGGUAUAAGGCAAGAAGAUCUCAUUUCCUUCUAUUUUUUUAUUAUGUGCAUGGAACUUAUCUCCAGGAGAAUUGAUUAUGAGAAUGAUAUAUUGAAUUCGCACCCUAUUUCUAUCAGCAAUAGAGGCCCUAAACUCUCACCUCUUUUUUGCUGAUGAUCUUACUCUAUUUUCCAAAGGCACUAGAGAAAAAUGUGUUACCAUCUCCAAGGUCCUCCAGUACUUUAGCUCUCACUCUAGGCAAAAGAUCAACCACUCAAAGUCUAAGGUCCUCUUCUAAAGGACCUGUCCUUCCCAUACUAAAGAUCAGCUCUCAACUAUCCUCUCUAUCAGAACCUCUGGUAGCUUUGGUAAAUAUUUGGGUUUUCCUAUCUUCCACAAGAAGCCUGCUAAUGGAGACUUCAAUUUCAUCCUUAAUAACUACAAUGCUAAACUGGUUGGCUGGAAGGUUAAUUUCCUAAGUAUGGUUGGGAGGGUCACAAUAGCCAAAUCCUCUCUUAAUAGCACCCCUACCCAUGUUAUGCGAUAUACUUCUCUCCCCAGCACCAUCCUCUACCAGAUUGACUAAAUUCAGAGGAAUUUUAUUUGGGGGAUAAUCUGAGAAAAAGAAACUUCACCUUUUAAGCUGGGAUCCCAUUUCCAAGGCUAAAGAUGUUGGGAGCCCUAGGUUUUAAAGAGAUAAAUCCAGGAAUGAUACCUUCAUUGCUAGCUUAGUUUGGAGAUAUUACCAUAGCCCUAACAGCCUAUGGACCUCCAUUCUCAUGGGUAAGUAUGAGAGACCUAAUCUCCUUCCCAAUAAGUCCUCCUCUAGAAUCUGGAAAUUCAUUAUUCAAGGUGGGGCCUUAUGUAAACUUGGGGCCGACUGAUUCUCAAAGAUGGUAACAAUGUUAACUUCUGGGAGGAUAGACGAUCCCUCAUCUAGAGCCCCUAAGAAACCUGAUUCAAGGAUCUUUAUCCCUCCCCGAGUCCAAACUAACCCUAGUUGAGGUCUGGAAUGAGGGUGCUUAGAAUUUUUCAAACCUCUCACUCUAACUACCUCCAGACCUGAUCCUUAGUGUCCAAAGCUCCUUUAGGAGGAAUCCCAGAAUUCAUGUUGAUCGUUUAAUUUGGGGACUCACCGGGAAUGGGUGCUUCACUACCAAAUCCAUGUAUAAUCUCAUUACCAGCAUUGGUAAAACCCUGGUUAGUCACAUUGGCUACUUCUUUAAGUGGAUCUGGCACAUCAAUGGACCUCCGAAGCUCAAAACAUUUCUUUGGCUUGCUCAACACAACAGGCUCCCUACUUCUAUCUUGCUAAAAUAGUUUUGGACAUUAACCCUAUAUCCAAGGCCUGUAAUAAUCAUAUUGAGGACAUAAUUCAUAUCUUUUUUGAUUGCCCCAUAACUAAAUAGUUCUGGAAACAUCUCCUUGAGGUGGGCACUAAGAUUGAUGGACUUAAUAUUGCCAGUUUUUACCCCCUAAAUUGGCACUCCAUUGGUAUUCCCUGAUGCACAAGAGUUUUGAUAAGAUGCUCAACUGGCAUAAUAUCCUCCCUUUCAGCCUUUGGGCUAUAUGGAAGAACAGAAAUCAUAACAUUUUUAACAAUUUGUGUGCUCAUCCUAACUGGAACCAGAGUCCUAACUAGAAACAAACUUAUAAUGAGACUUUAAGAGUAUAUCACUCUUGUCUCUCCAAAUAAGCAACCCCACCGUAAAGUGGACAUCAAUCUUAGGUGGAUCAGACCCAAGCCUGGAUCUUUUAUGCUUAAUACUGACGGGGCUUGUAGAGGAAACCCAGGGAAAGGGGGGGAGGGGUGGGGGGAGGUCAUUCAUGGUUCUAAUGGUAGUUGGGUUCUAGGUUUCGCUAAAGCCUGUCCUUGGGCUACCAACAAUCAGAUGGAGCUCAUAGCCCUCCACGAAGGACCUCGCCUAGUGGAGGAAAACAACCUUACGCCAAUUGAAAUUUGCAUUGACUCGACUGAAUUCUUAUCCUGAUUAGCUAAUGGCAAUUUAUUUUAUGACCCAACUAUCGAUGAAUGCAGGUCAAAACUAAGAAGACUAGGAAGGCCCAUGGUAUAAGCUAGGUUCUCAGCUGGAAUAACAAUUGACAAGCAACCUUUUUGAAGUCUCACCCAUGUGUGCACAGAAGUCAUUGUGAGCGGACAUGACUGGAACUUUUUUUGCAAGAUCAAUUAGUGAUUGUAAUUUAAACCCGAAUAUAGGGUCUGUCUUUUGUUUUGUAAUUAAUCCUGACUAACAUUUGUUGGGAACAUCCCAACGCCUUAUUUAUCUUAAUGCAAUCGUCUUGACCAAAAAAAAGAAAACAAGUAUUUUUAGGAGUAGCAUAAACUGUUUGCUUAAAAAAGUACUCCCUCCAUGCUAUUUUAUUUGGCACAAUGAAAGACUUUUGAAAUGUGGUCUAAACAUUCUAAUUACAGUAACGUGACAUUUUUUGGGACGGAACAAAAAAAAAUGGUACCACAUAAAAUGAGAGAAAAUAAGAGAGAGAGAGUAGUUUUUUUUUUUUUCGAGAACACUUAAUUAAAAAGCUACACUUAUAGCUUGUUAGAUCAAGCUUACUUCUGCCCACAGAGUGUUUAUUUUUCUUUAAAAUAUGCUUAAUUUUAAAAAGUGAGGUGUUAGCUUUUGAGAGAAAACAAGUGUUUCGGGUGACUGUAUCUUAGAAGCUAAAAGACAUAGUUUUUUUUCUAAAAGUACUUUUGAGGGAAAAAAAUACGGUAUCAAGUGUGUAGGUUUCCUACUUGAACUAUCAAUAUUUAUCGAAAUACACCUUAACUAUAUACUUUUCCUACCUAAGAAUCACCAUUGUUUAGGUUGAAAAAAUAACAACCCAAAGCUAAUUAAAAUAUGUUUCAAUAAACAUUUGGUAUAGUUUAAGUGUGUUUUGAGCUCGAGCAAUUUAUAUUUGCCAUAUGUGUCCUGUAAACAGCAAAUACAUGCAUAAAAAUAAAAGUAUAUGUGUAUGUAGAAAAAUAGUCAUAGAAAACAUUUAUAAACUAAUAAAUUUGCUUCAAAGUGCGUUUUUUAUCCUUUUUUUUUUAUUAUUAUUAUUAUUAUAAACUGAUAAAUUUCAUUAGAUAUUUUUGGCCAUUAAUAUUUUUCACUUAUUUUCAAAAAUUUAUUUCACUUUCUUUGAAAAAUAUUAUUUGAUCAUGAAAAUUUCAAAUACAAAAUAACCAAAACCUUGUUUUAAAAUUUUUCACUUUUAAAUUUUUUUUCCUCAUAAAAAUCCUAACUUUUUUUAUUUUCAUAAAAUAACGCUACUUAAAUUACAUUCCAUAUUCAAAUUUUUUUGGGUCAAAAGUACAUUUAAAUUCUUAAUAUUAACUGCAAAAAUUAUGUGUAAAAAUUUCAGCUCCAGCUUCAACUUUAAAAUUUCAAAUGAAGUGAUUUUCCGUUAGAAAAAGAAAUGGACGAGAUGCCACUUACAAUAUUGCUAAUUAAGCAUA
rnacentral:lncRNA from 1 species